GCCGGGAUGGUGGAACUGGUAGACACGCAAGACUUAAAAUCUUGUGGCCGCUUAGGCCGUACGGGUUCGAUUCCCGUUCCUGGUA
rfam:Mariniradius saccharolyticus AK6 contig5, whole genome shotgun sequence.